GUCGGUGGAAGGCUGGUUAAACCGUUUGGUUUACGACCACUACGACCCGGGUUCGAUCCCCGGAUUGGACA